rnacentral:misc_RNA from 1 species
AAACAACUCUUGUUAUCACCACCACUAGUUUCAGAUGAUGUGCCUUAAUAAUACACAUUCAGCAUUACUGUCAUUAGAUAUGCAAGCAACCAGCAGUAGCCUUAGUCCACAACAAAGUACAAUUAAUAUUGAUUAAUGUGUUCAGCCUUCUUUAUACCAGGUAGAUUCUCAUGUUGUUCUCAUAAAAAGAAAUUCAUUCAAUUCAAUUCAUUAAAUGCCGACAGAAUCAUCUUUCCUAUUCAUAUUACAACUGUGAUACUUCCAUUACAACAUAAUGUACAUUGGGUAUAUAUACAUAUGUAAUUUCGUCACAUAAAAAUUCGACUAAAUUAAUACUACCAAAACAUUUUUUUGUCUGUAACAGUCACCUUGUUAUCACAGUACAGAACUAGCAGAGUACCUGUCAUUAUGUAAUAUGUAGGUUACUACACCGACGACACGCACCAAUCUCCGUCGGGUUUUGAGUUGUGUCCGGGAAGGAGGGUGGGGAGAUGUGUGGGAUUUCAAUGUACUACUGUCUGCAUGUUACAAAGCAAUAAAAAGUAUUAAUCUAC